AACGAACGCUGGCGGCAGGCUUAACACAUGCAAGUCGAACGCACCGCAAGGUGAGUGGCAGACGGGUGAGUAACACGUGGGGAUCUGCCCAAUGGUACGGAAUAAUUCCGGGAAACUGGGACUAAUACCGUAUGAGCCCGCAAGGGGAAAGAUUUAUCGCCAUUGGAUGAACCCGCGUCGGAUUAGCUAGUUGGUGUGGGAAAGGCGCACCAAGGCGACGAUACGUAGCUGGUCUGAGAGGAUGAUCAGCCACACUGGGACUGAGACACGGCCCAGACUCCUACGGGAGGCAGCAGUGGGGAAUAUUGGACAAUGGGCGCAAGCCUGAUCCAGCCAUGCCGCGUGAGUGAUGAAGGCCUUAGGGUUGUAAAGCUCUUUCGCCGACGAAGAUAAUGACGGUAGUCGGAGAAGAAGCCCCGGCUAACUUCGUGCCAGCCGCCGCCGUAAGAC
rnacentral:rRNA from 1 species